AUAUUGCGCAAUGGGCGAAAGCCUGACGCAGCCACGCCGCGUGAGUGAUGAAGGCCUUCGGGUUGUAAAGCUCUUUUACCCGGGAUGAUAAUGACAGUACCGGGAGAAUAAGCCCCGGCUAACUCCGUGCCAGCAGCCGCGGUAAUACGGAGGGGGCUAGCGUUGUUCGGAAUUACUGGGCGUAAAGCGCACGUAGGCGGCGAUUUAAGUCAGAGGUGAAAGCCCGGGGCUCAACCCCGGAAUAGCCUUUGAGACUGGAUUGCUUGAACAUCGGAGAGGUGAGUGGAAUUCCGAGUGUAGAGGUGAAAUUCGUAGAUAUUCGGAAGAACACCAGUGGCGAAGGCGGCUCACUGGACGAUUGUUGACGCUGAGGUGCGAAAGCGUGGGGAGCAAACAGG
rnacentral:rRNA from 1 species